AUUGAACGCUAGCGGGAUGCCUAACACAUGCAAGUCGAACGAGUGGCGGACGGGUGAGUAAUACAUCGGAACGUGCCCAGUAGCGGGGGAUAACUACUCGAACCAGUUGCUACUACCGCAUACUAUUGGCGCGGCCGAUAUCGGAUUAGCUAGUUGGUGGGGUAAAGGCUCACCAAGGCAACGAUCCGUAGCUGGUUUGAGAGGACGACCAGCCACACUGGGACUGAGACACGGCCCAGACUCCUACGGGAGGCAGCAGUGGGGAAGAUUGGACAAGGGGGGAAACCCUGAUCAAGCCAUCGCGCGUGGGUGAGAAGGCUUUCGGGUAGUAAAGUAGGUUUGGAAGAGGGGCGGUAACCAAAGAAGAAGCACCGGCUAACUACGUGCCAGCAGCCGCGGUAAUAC
rnacentral:rRNA from 1 species